rnacentral:lncRNA from 1 species
GGCUCAAACUAACAGACCCUUAGUGAAUGGACAUUUUUUUUAACUUUUUAAUACAUUUAUCUAUUGAAGAUGGAAUGACAAGCUGUGGUCAGAGAACAACUUUCAGGGAACCUUCCAUCACGAUGAAUGAGUAUGUCUCCGGAUCCUGAUGACGUCAGAGUUUGAGAGGCUGCGGUCCCCGGAAUUGGAUGAUGCCCUUUCUACCGCGGGAGUCAACCCGGCAGUCUCCUUCCAUCCAUCGUUCUCUAGACACUGUCAUGAUUUAGAGUUAUAAACUUAUUUCUUUAUAGUGUGUGUAUAUUAUAGUAACAAAGUAUUUGUGUGUGUGGAGAAAACAAAUUUUGCCUGUCUUUUCAACCCCCCACACUGGAGCUACAUAGACACCUAUGGCCGUAUCAGCUUAAAAAACAAAACAACAAUACAAAACCCCGGAGUCUCACUAUAUGACACUCACUGGCCCAGAACUCACUAUGUAGACCAGGCAGACCUAGAGCUCCCAGAGAUCUGUCUGCUUCUGCCUCCAGCCCUGGAAUUAAAGGUGUGCACCGCCGCAGCAAGCAGGCCCCACGUUUAGUUUUCUCUUUUUACAUUUUUACGGGAAAUUCAAACUCAAGACCUCAGGCCUGCAUAGGAAAUGCUUUUACCCCCUAACCAUGUGCCCAACCCCAAUAGAACCUUUCCAAUGCCAAAUUUUAAGUGUUUAUUGCUGGUGUGCAAGAAAGCAAUUAACUGGCUUUUCUAUAUUAUCUUGCAUUUUAUAUCCUAGUUGUUUGUUUGAACCCGGUUUUUCAGUUGAUUAAUUUUGGGAUUUUUUUUUUCAUAAACAAUCAUGAUCACCUAUGAGCUUACAGUUUUAUUUGUUGCUUCCUAGUGUGUGUGUUUUGUUUCCUUUUCUUGGAUUACCUAGAGAUUCUACUGCGGUACUGGAUCAAGUGAAGAAGAUAAAGUAUUAAGGAAGCCCAAAGAUCAGUCAGCAGGAAUUCACACACACGCACACACACACACACACACACACACUAACACACACAUCAGUGAGAGUCCACAUCUUUGCCUCCUCCUGCUUUGGUAGGAAAACAUCUAGUUUCUCAUUAAGAAACUUUUCUUUCACUGAGAUACACACAUAUACAUUUUGUUUAAUCUUUAAGGGGAUUUUUUUAGAUUUGUUUACUUAUUUUAUGUGAGUGCAUCUGUUUGCCCAUAUAUAUAUGACGCGUAUGCCUGGAGCCUUUGGAGGUCAGAAAAGGGCAUCAGAUUCCCUCAACUAGAAUUACGGCUGGUUGUGGGCUGCCAUGUGAGUGCUGGGAAUCAAACUCAAGACCUCUGCAAGAGCAACAAGUGCUCUUAACUGAUGAACUACUUUCCAGCCUCUGUAAAUACAGUUGUUUUUUUAUUAAAUACACACACACACACACACACACACACAUAUAUAUACAGAGAGAGAGAGAGGCUGGAGAGAUGGCUCAGCGGUUAAGAACACUGACUGCUCUUCCAAAGGUCCAGAGUUCAAAUCCCAGCAACCACAUGGUGGCUCACAACCAUCUGUAAUGGGAUCUGAUGCCCUCUUCGGGAGUGUCUGAAGACAACUACAGUGAACUUACAUAUAAUAAACGAAUAAAUAAAUCUUUUUAAAAAAAGAAAAAAAAGUUUAAGUACCCUGCUGGGCCUGGCGAUGCAGGCCUGAGGCAGGGGAAUUGCCAUAACUUCGAGGCCAGCUUGUACUACAUAUCAAGUUCAUGGGUAGCGUAUUGCACCCCUGCUUUCAAAUAAAAGUAAAUAGAAAACUGGAGAUGUUGCCCAGUGGUAGAGCUUUUUCUUAGCAUCCGAAAGACCUAGGUUUGAUCUCUAGUUCUGCCAAAAGAAAUUAAAUUCAUAGACCCCCCAACAAGUCCUCAAACUCAAAUUGUCUUCCAUAUCCAGUGCCAUGUAACCCCAGGCUGACUUCAGAUUCCCGGUGUAGCCAAGUACAACUGUGAACUUCUGUCCCUUUGGAUUCUACCUCCAAAGUGCUCCAAUCACAAAGCUCCUGGCUACUUGAUUUGAUUUGGGGGUCUUGGAAAUGG